rnacentral:ribozyme from 1 species
AACUACCAUAAUGGCCAUAGCAGAAGCAUUUACAACACAGCCCUUGUCAGAUUCCAAUGAGUCUGCAAAUUCUGCU